CAGGGGAGCGAAAGGGAUUAGAUACCCCUGUAGUCCUGGCCGUAAACGAUGAACACUAGGCGUCGGGGGAAUCGACCCCCUCGGUGUCGUAGCCAACGCGUUAAGUGUUCCGCCUGGGGAGUACGCACGCAAGUGUGAAACUCAAAGGAAUUGACGGGGGCCCGCACAAGCGGUGGAGUAUGUGGUUUAAUUCGAUGCAACGCGGAGAACCUUACCAGGGUUUGACAUCCUGCGAACCCCUUGGAAACGAGGGGGUGCCUUCGGGAACGCAGUGACAGGUGGUGCAUGGCUGUCGUCAGCUCGUGUCGUGAGAUGUUGGGUUAAGUCCCGCAACGAGCGCAACCCACGUCUUUAGUUGCCAGCAUUUAGUUGGGCACUCUAGAGAGACCGCCGGUGAUAAACCGGAGGAAGGUGUGGAUGACGUCAAGUCAUCAUGCCCCUUACAUCCUGGGCUACACACGUACUACAAUGCUACGGACAAAGGGCAGCGAACUCGCGAGGGCAAGCAAAUCCCAUAAACCGUGGCUCAGUUCAGAUCGUAGGCUGCAACUCGCCUACGUGAAGGAGGAAUCGCUAGUAAUCGCAGGUCAGCAUACUGCGGUGAAUACGUUCCCGGGCCUUGUACACACCGCCCGUCACACCAUGGAAGUUAGCCACGCCCGAAGUCGUUACUCCAACCCUUGUGGAGGAGGACGCCGAAGGUGGGGCUGAUGACUGGGGUG
rnacentral:rRNA from 1 species